CCUUGCUGCUGGAUCAGUGCCUCAGAAGGAAGGGGAAGGAGAGAAGAAGCCCUGUUAAAGGCAUGAGAAACAUCUUCUAGCCCACGUGACAAAGGCUCUAGCCAAAAGGACCAGAUGGAAUGGAUUUUUCAGAUUUCCAGAAUGAAGCCCCACAACCACUGGACUUAAACUCACUGACUUGGAUGCAAGAACUCUCUUGUUGUCCCCGCUCUUUAGGCGCACUGAUAGGCUCCAGAAGAAGAGAGAGAGAGAGGUUUUGUGCCUGAGAGCCCCAACCAAGGAGCAAGAGGGAGUUUGGGAUUUUGUUU
rnacentral:lncRNA from 1 species